rnacentral:rRNA from 1 species
CCGAGUUGUAAUUUGUAGAGGAUGCUUCGGGCGUGGCCGCGGUCUAAGUCCCCUGGAACGGGGCGUCGCAGAGGGUGAGAAUCCCGUCUUCGGCCGGCCGGCUUCGCCCAUGUGAAGCUCCUUCGACGAGUCGAGUUGUUUGGGAAUGCAGCUCUAAAUGGGUGGUAAAUUUCAUCUAAAGCUAAAUACUGGUCGGAGACCGAUAGCGCACAAGUAGAGUGAUCGAAAGAUGAAAAGCACUUUGAAAAGAGAGUUAAACAGCAUGUGAAAUUGUUGAAAGGGAAGCGCUUGCGACCAGAGUCGGCCGCGGGGGUUCAGCGGGCAUUCGUUGCCCGUGCACUCCCCCGUGGCCGGGCCAGCGUCGGUUUCGACGGCCGGUCAAAGGCCCCCGGAAUGUGUCACCCUUCGGGGUGUCUUAUAGCCGGGGGUGCAAUGCGGCCAGUCGGGACCGAGGAACGCGCUUCGGCACGGACGCUGGCUUAAUGGUCGUAAGC